rnacentral:tRNA from 2 species
GGGGGAAUAGACCGUAGAGGUAGCGGGACAGACUGUAAAUCUGUUGCCUAAGAAGCUCGGGUGGUUCAACUCCAUCUUCCCCCA